rnacentral:rRNA from 1 species
UACGAGGGGUGCAAGCGUUGCUCGGAAUUAUUGGGCGUAAAGGGUAGGUAGGUGGUCUCAUUUGUCUGGGGUGAAAGCCUUGAGCUUAACUCAAGAAGUGCCCUAGAAACGGUGAGACUGGAGUCUUGGAGAGGGUCGUGGAAUUCCCGGUGUAGUGGUGGAAUGCGUAGAUAUCAGGAAGAACACCGGUGGCGAAGGCGGCUCUCUGGGCCUUACCUGACGCUGAGGAGCGAAAGCGUGGGUAGCGAACAGG